AGUGAACGCUGGCGGCAGGCCUAACACAUGCAAGUCGAGCGGCAGCGGGUCCUUCGGGAUGCCGGCGAGCGGCGGACGGGUGAGGAAUGCAUCGGAAUCUGCCCUGUCGUGGGGGAUAACCUAGGGAAACUUAGGCUAAUACCGCAUACGACCCACGGGUGAAAGCGGGGGAUCGCAAGACCUCGCGCGAUAGGAUGAGCCGUUGUCCGAUUAGCUAGUUGGCGGGGUAAAGGCCCACCAAGGCGACGAUCGGUAGCUGGUCUGAGAGGAUGAUCAGCCACACUGGGACUGAGACACGGCCCAGACUCCUACGGGAGGCAGCAGUGGGGAAUAUUGGACAAUGGGCGCAAGCCUGAUCCAGCCAUGCCGCGUGGGUGAAGAAGGCCUUCGGGUUGUAAAGCCCUUUUGUCCGGGAAGAAAUCGUCUGGGCUAAUACCCCGGGCGGAUGACGGUACCGGAAGAAUAAGCACCGGCUAACUUCGCG
rnacentral:rRNA from 1 species